AUCGCUUCUCGGCCUUUUGGCUACGAUCAAGUGUAGUAUCUGUUUUACGGAGUACAGUUAUUGUGAGAGUGCAUCCCCCCUGCGUUGGCGGGGUUGUUUUUUUUUUUUUCUUCCUCUCAUUUUGUGUUGGGUGAAGUCAUG
rnacentral:snRNA from 1 species